rnacentral:rRNA from 1 species
CCUACGGGAGGCAGCAGUAAGGAAUCUUGCGCAAUGGGCGAAAGCCUGACGCAGCGACGCCGCGUGGGCGAUGAAGGCCUUCGGGUUGUAAAGCCCUUUUCUGGGGGACGAGGAAGGACGGUACCCCAGGAAUAAGUCACGGCUAACUACGUGCCAGCAGCCGCGGUAAUACGUAGGGGGCAAGCGUUGUUCGGAUUUACUGGGCGUAAAGAGCGCGUAGGCGGUUUGAUAAGUCAUGGGUGAAAGUCCUCAGCUCAACUGAGGUUCCGCCCAUGAAACUGUCUGACUUGAGUUUAGGAGAGGAGAGCGGAAUUCCCAGUGUAGCGGUAAAAUGCGUAGAUAUUGGGAGGAACACCGGUGGCGAAGGCGGCUCUCUGGACUAAUACUGACGCUGAGGCGCGAAAGCUAGGGGAGCAAACGGGAUUAGAUACCCCUGUAGU